GGGGUUGUGGCUCAGAGGUAGAGCACUCGCCUAGCAUGCGUGAGGCACUGGGUUCAAUCCUCAGCAUCACAU
rnacentral:tRNA from 1 species